rnacentral:rRNA from 1 species
AAGAAACCAACAGGGAUUGCCCUAGUAACGGCGAGUGAAGCGGCAACAGCUCAAAUUUGAAAGCUGGCCUUCGGGUCCGCAUUGUAAUUUGUAGAGGAUGCUUUGGGUGAAACGCCAGUCUAAGUUCCUUGGAACAGGACGUCAUAGAGGGUGAGAAUCCCGUAUGUGACUGGAAAUGUUAACCUAUGUAAAGCUCCUUCGACGAGUCGAGUUGUUUGGGAAUGCAGCUCUAAAUGGGAGGUAAAUUUCUUCUAAAGCUAAAUAUUGGCGAGAGACCGAUAGCGCACAAGUAGAGUGAUCGAAAGAUGAAAAGCACUUUGGAAAGAGAGUUAAAAAGCACGUGAAAUUGUUGAAAGGGAAGCGCUUGCAAUCAGACUUGUUUAAACUGUUCGGCCGGUCUUCUGACCGGUUUACUCAGUUUGGACAGGCCAGCAUCAGUUUCGGCGGCCGGAUAAAGGCUCUGGGAAUGUGGCCUUCACUUCGGUGAAGGUGUUAUAGCCCAGGGUGUAAUACGGCCAGCCGGGACUGAGGUCCGCGCUUCGGCUAGGAUGCUGGCGUAAUGGUUGUAAGCGACC